UUUUUGAAGUCAUGGGUCAAAUUGGAUGUGAACCCACAAUUUAUACUUACAACUGCUUGCUUAAAGGUUUGUGCUUUGUUGGUAGAGUGGAAGAAGCUUAUGAGUUGCUUUUGAAUAACAAGAAAUCUAGUAAAAAACCUGAUCUUUAUACUUAUACUGCUGUUAUGGAUGGUUUUUGUAAGAAAUAUCAAGAAAUCUAAUAAAAAACCUGAUCUUUAUACUUAUACUGCUGUUAUGGAUGGUUUUUGUAAGGUUGGUAGGUCUAAUGAAGCACUAGAAUUGCUUGAUGAAGCUCUUGAAAUGGGGCUGAUACCUAAUGUGGUUACUUAUAAUACUUUGUUCAAUGGG
rnacentral:lncRNA from 1 species